CGAGCGCAGGAAGCAAGCUGAUCCCCUUCGGGGGUGACGCUUGUGGAAUGAGCGGCGGACGGGUGAGUAACACGUGGGCAACCUGCCUGUAAGACUGGGAUAACCCCGGGAAACCGGGGCUAAUACCGGAUAAUACUUUCUUUUGCAUAAAGGAAAGUUGAAAGGCGGCUUCGGCUGUCACUUACAGAUGGGCCCGCGGCGCAUUAGCUAGUUGGUGAGGUAACGGCUCACCAAGGCGACGAUGCGUAGCCGACCUGAGAGGGUGAUCGGCCACACUGGGACUGAGACACGGCCCAGACUCCUACGGGAGGCAGCAGUAGGGAAUCUUCCGCAAUGGACGAAAGUCUGACGGAGCAACGCCGCGUGAGUGAUGAAGGUUUUCGGAUCGUAAAACUCUGUUGUUAGGGAAGAACAAGUUGGGUAGUAACUGACCCAACCUUGACGGUACCUAACCAGAAAGCCACGGCUAACUACGUGCCAGCAGCCGCGGUAAUACGUAGGUGGCAAGCGUUGUCCGGAAUUAUUGGGCGUAAAGCGCUCGCAGGCGGUCCUUUAAGUCUGAUGUGAAAUCUCGCGGCUCAACCGCGAACGGUCAUUGGAAACUGGAGGACUUGAGUACAGAAGAGGAGAGUGGAAUUCCACGUGUAGCGGUGAAAUGCGUAGAGAUGUGGAGGAACACCAGUGGCGAAGGCGACUCUCUGGUCUGUAACUGACGCUGAGGAGCGAAAGCGUGGGGAGCGAACAGGAUUAGAUACCCUGGUAGUCCACGCCGUAAACGAUGAGUGCUAGGUGUUAGGGGGUUUCCGCCCCUUAGUGCUGAAGUUAACGCAUUAAGCACUCCGCCUGGGGAGUACGGCCGCAAGGCUGAAACUCAAAAGAAUUGACGGGGGCCCGCACAAGCGGUGGAGCAUGUGGUUUAAUUCGAAGCAACGCGAAGAACCUUACCAGGUCUUGACAUCCUCUGCUAUUCCUAGAGAUAGGAAGUUCCCUUCGGGGACAGAGUGACAGGUGGUGCAUGGUUGUCGUCAGCUCGUGUCGUGAGAUGUUGGGUUAAGUCCCGCAACGAGCGCAACCCUUGAUCUUAGUUGCCAGCAUUUAGUUGGGCACUCUAAGGUGACUGCCGGUGACAAACCGGAAGAAAGGGGGGGAUGACGUCAAAUCAUCAUGCCCCUU
rnacentral:rRNA from 1 species